UAGCCAGUUGGACCCACCCACCUCUAUGUCCUUGGAGGUUGAGAGAUCAUUUCUGGUUUGCAUCUCAGAUUGUUGGGUCAAGCGGAUGUUUUCUAAAGGUUGUGAGUUGAAUGUGAAAUUGUCUGCACCAUGUCGCUUUCAUUGUUUCAUUAAGGCGUUCACUCUGGAUUAACAAGAGAUCCGGAGAACCUUAACAUCCUACCAUCUUUUCCUUCAGCUGCCAGCUCCGUCUCUUGCUAUGACGAGGUGGAACAUUCCUAUCCACACUCUUUACUGAGACGAAGGCGGUUCAUUCUCAGCUGUUUAGGCCCCUUUGACGUCUCGGCUCACCAUAAGGUCAAUGACUUGACCCUUUGUGCAUCAUGACCAUUGAGCAGGCUAUUAAUGGAGACUUGGGGAUGGGGGGGGUCUGUUUGUUUGAUUUACUUUGACAAGUGUCCAACUAGACGUCCCAUGAUUCUUUUGCUCCUUUGAUUGAGUUGCUUGUCAUUUCUUCGUUAUCCCUUGCUCAAGCCAGCUGUAUGAUGGAAGCAGAGAAUACAGAAGAAGACUGAACACACUUCUGAAGCACAGACAAAGGAUCCUGUUAGGAAAUCCCUUUCUGCAGAUUCUGAUGCCCUCCAGCACACCGUUACAGCGCAACUGGUGCAUGACCAGAGGAUUCUCCAUCGCCCCAGGAGUCUUAGUCUCAUUGGGGAUGAUGCAGCGCACAAAGUGAGGGUGAGUUGACCUCAAGUUGGUCAUCAGCUUGUUCAGAUUCUCCUGUUGGUAGACCACAGAGGAUUUGAAUUUACAUUCAAUAAAACCAUUAGAGAAAAAGCAGUGUUAAAUUAUUAAAUAACCUUACAUACCCUGUGGAGGGCUGACACUGUCUGGAAGGAAGAGCCCUUCUUUUUGCCUCCUUUGCCACCCUUACCUCCAGAGUCCGCAGCUGUGAAAUACAUGAUAUUUGUUGUUGUUGCUAUUAUACAGUAAAAUGAGUGCUUAUUAUAUUUUUGUAUCAUGCAUCAGUGUUUACUUGCCUGAGUCAGCACUAGCAUAAUUAGCAAACAAAAUGCCCAACAGUUUAAGAGUUGACUUCUGGAACAACCCUACAACAGUCUCAUUGAGAGGGUCCUUGUUCUUCACCAGCCAGUUUGAAAUGUUGUAGUCAACGGUGCCAGCAUAGUGAACCAGGGCAAAAUGGGCCUCUGGUUUACCCUUGACAAUCCUGGGCUUCUGGAAGUUUGGAUUUUUGCCCAAGUGGUUGUCAUAAAGCUUAGCUUUGAAUGUUGAAUCACUGGCUUUGGGGAACAUGCACUCCUCUUCAAGGAUGGACAUGAUGCCCAUGGGCUAAAAUGAGUAGAAGAUUGUGAUAGUCAAUAUGCCAGUUUUCUACAACAGUUAAGACUAAAAACUGUUAGGCUUAACAGUCCCCCCCACUCCCCACACAGUAUAUUCAUUAAUAAUUACCCACCUUCUCAAUUAGUUCAAUACAAGCCUGCAAGUCCAUUCCAAAGUCAAUGAACUCCCACUCAAUGCCCUCCUUCUUGUAUUCCUCUUGCUCCAGCACAAACAUGUGAUGGUUGAAGAACUGCUGCAACUUCUCAUUAGUGAAGUUGAUGCACAGCUGCUCAAAGGUGUUGAA